rnacentral:rRNA from 1 species
CAGCAGCCACGGUAAUACGAAGGGUGCAAGCGUUACUCGGAAUUACUGGGCGUAAAGCGCGCGUAGGUGGUUCGCCAAGUUGGAUGUGAAAUCCCCGGGCUCAACCUGGGAACUGCAUCCAAAACUGGCGAGCUAGAGUAUGGUAGAGGGUGGUGGAAUUUCCUGUGUAGCGGUGAAAUGCGUAGAUAUAGGAAGGAACAUCAGUGGCGAAGGCGACCACCUGGACUGAUACUGACACUGAGGUGCGAAAGCGUGGGGAGCAAACAGGAUUAGAUACCCCUGUAGUCCCUGUCUCUUAUAU